UAUCUCUGUAGAGUCUGCAUAUCAAUAAGCGGAGGAAAAGAAACUAACAAGGAUUCCCUUAGUAACGGCGAGUGAAGCGGGAAGAGCUCAAAUUUGAAAUCUUCAAGGUUCUACCUUGACGAAUUGUAGUUUAAAGAAGUGUUUUCUGUUAGAGUUUGAGUAGAAAAGUUCCUUGGAAUAGGACAUCAUAGAGGGUGAGAAUCCCGUAUUGGUACCAUUACUUCCUAGCUUUGUGAUACACUUUCAAAGAGUCGGAUUGUUUGGGAAUGCAGUCCAAAAUGGGUGGUAAAUUUCAUCUAAAGCUAAAUAUUGGCGAGAGACCGAUAGCGAACAAGUACCGUGAGGGAAAGAUGAAAAGAACUUUGAAAAGAGAGUUAAACAGUACGUGAAAUUGUUAAAAGGGAAGCGUUUGACACCAGUGUUGUUUUUCCGAAAAUCAAUUACGAAUGGCUUGAUUCUGUGUUGUAUUGACCUUAUCAGCUUUCUUCACUUUUUUCGAGUCUUUCUUAAUGCACUUUUCGGUUAACAAGUCAACAUCAAUUUCUUUUGUUGUAAAAGAGUAUUCGGAAGGUGGCUUUCUUUUCGGAGAAAGUGUUUAUAGCCCUAUACUUCUACAAUCGGAGAGAUUGAGGUCUGCAGCGUAGAUCCUUCGGGGUUAGAUACACUUGUGCUAAGUUGUUGCUUUUCAUAGACAACUUGUUGACUAUGUUUAGUCAUGCGGCUUACUCGCUUGUGCUAUUUUACCUACGCUUAGGAUGUUGACGAGACUGUCGAUCUC
rnacentral:rRNA from 1 species